GUUUCAGUGUUUACAGCAUAGAUCACUGGGGAUGGGUGGACGAAAGUGCAUGACUUAUUUUACAUUUUGCGGUAGAAUUUAAUCCCGCAGCUUAGGUUUGAUUUCGUAUAAUAUUGUGCUUAUUUUUUUUGCACUUUGUUUGUUAACUGGUUUGUAAUGUAACACAUAGUGGACCGAUUCUGAAAGACUAGCCAGGUUACUUGCUCUUUAAUGUGUUAAUACAUUUUGAAAACGAAAUUUUUCCUGAACAGAGGAUUGUCUUGUUAGCUGACGUUAUAUGUUGACCCAAUUUGAAACAUUGCAUUUGUAGAUUAAUUAAUUAAUAACUUUCAAUAUCUGUUCUUCAAAACAUCAAGUGGUAUGAUGACUGAUGAAUUGGAGAGGCUUUUGAAGGAAGCUGUCAUGGCCUAAUUUAAGUACUAUCCUGGAAUUUGCAAGGAAGGACUGAAGAGAAACAUGAAAAUCCCUAGUCAGGAUAACCAGUGUCACAAAUCAGAUUCACACUGAGCGCCAACUCACUGGCUGAUAUUACCAGUUUACCAUAAUAAUUCUGUGAUUCGUGAAUAAACAUGCACAGUCGUCUACUCUGUGAGGUAGAAGAUUGGAAGAAACCGGCGCUGAUAGUUUUGGAUUUAGAUUUUACAUUAUGGCCCUUCAGGGUUGAUAAAAAUGCUAAAAGUCCAUUCAGCAUAAGCAGACAAAGAAAUAUAACCGAUACGAGAGGCAGAGUGUUUAAGACUUUUCCUGAGGUGCCACAACUUCUGAGGGCAUUAACAAACAGUGGCUACAAUUUGGCUGCUGCAUCAAGAAUAGAAGAUAUACCAGGGGCAUAUCAAUUGUUACACCUGUUUGACAUAACACAGUAUUUUCGGUAUAAAGAAAUAUAUCCCGGUACAAAGACAGUACAUUUUAAUAACUUACGUGCUAAGACAGGAAUCAGAUUUGAACAUAUGAUUUUCUUUGACGAUGAUAAACGUAAUGUUCGUGAUGUGUCACGGCUUGGAGUUACCGUGUUUCAGGUUCCACAGGAUGGUUUGACUUUCAGUGUCUUAAAUAAAGGUCUGUUAAAUUUUGCUUCCACAUAUACAUAACCUCAAUAAAGUUAUUUCACAUAAUUGCUGCAAAAUAUUUAUUCGUUCUGUUUUGUUCAUCCUGGAAAUCAAAAUACGUUGAUAUAGGAUAUGUCCAUCCAAGUUAUACAUUAUACGAGUAGAAAUUACAAUAAUGAUAAGAUUAACUUAUAACAGGAAAUGUAUGAAAAAUAAUAAUAUUAAGUUAUUAAAAAUAACUUUAUACUAUUAUAUAUGUUAAUCUAUUAAUGUAAGUGAUUUUGAUUGUAUGACUUUUGUACUUUUAUAUAUGUAUCUUGAUAUAUCUAUUUUCAAAAGGACCAUUUCCACAUCCUAGGUUUGUUACCUAUAUAGAUAUUUGGAAAAUAAAGGAAAUGAAUGAAUUAAUGAGAAAGUUCUUCAGUUCCUUUCUAAACUGGUUGUUAUUAUCUUUUUAUGUUGUUGGUCAGUUUGUUGUAGAAAAUGCAACCUGCUACUGAUGGUUCACGCUUUAUAAAGUACAAAAUUAUGUAUAUAUUUAAUAUAUUUAUUGGAUCAUAUUCUGGCAAUUUUUAUGUGUACACAUUUAAAGAUAUGUUUAUAUCCAAUAAUGUGUUUCAUUGUGUGGUGUAAUAAACGUUUGGACCCCAUGAAAAGCAAGGAUUUCCUUCGCCUGUUGAAUGGCUGUUAGCUUCUCAGCAACUCUGAUCUACUAUGUAUGUAAGUUAGUGAUCUAUUCAGUACAUAAUAUUCAUGAGUUUACGUAGAAGGUUAUGUUGUAUGUGUCAGCCAUAACCUCAGGUUUAUCCACAACGCAAACCAAAAUCAGGAUCAACCUCAUAAUCCAACUGUACAUAAAAAAUCAUUUCAGAGUGCUGCAGAAUUCAAAUGUGGUAUCAACAGUAAGUAAAUAAUUAAAUUCAUAGAAGAGAGUCU